rnacentral:miRNA from 1 species
UACUUCACAGAAUCUCGAUCAUG